AUUGCACGCUAGCGGGGUGCUAUACACAUGCAAGUCGAACGAAUGUCGGACGGGUGAGUAAUAUAUCGGAACGUGCACAGUAGCGGGGGAUAACUACUCGAAACAGUGGCUAAUCGCGCAUACACUUGGAGCGGCCGCUAUCGGGUUAGCUAGGUGGUGGGGUAAAGGCGCACCAAGGCAACGAUCCGUAGCUGGUUUAAGAUGACGACCAGCAACACUGGGACUGAGACACAGCCCAGACUCCUACGGGAGGCAGCAGUGGGGAAUUUGGGACAAGGGGGGAAACCCUGAUCCAGCCAUCCCGCGUGUAUGAGAAGGCCUUCGGGUUGUAAAGUACGUGUGGCAGAGAAGCGGUAUCUGCAGAAUAAGCACCGGCUAACUACGUGACAGCAGCCGCGGUAAUAC
rnacentral:rRNA from 1 species